CACGUAGGCGGGCUGUCAAGUCGGCCGUGAAAGGCACGGGCUCAACCUGUGCAUGUCGGUCGAUACUGGCGGUCUGGAGUAUGGGAGAGGGAACUGGAAUUCCCGGUGUAGCGGUGAAAUGCGUAGAUAUCGGGAGGAACGCCAGUGGCGAAGGCGGGUUCCUGGCCCAUGACUGACGCUGAGGUGCGAAAGCCGGGGGAGCGAACG
rnacentral:rRNA from 1 species